rnacentral:rRNA from 1 species
CCUACGGGAGGCAGCAGUGGGGAAUAUUGCACAAUGGGGGAAACCCUGAUGCAGCGACGCCGCGUGAGUGAAGAAGUAUUUCGGUAUGUAAAGCUCUAUCAGUAGGGAAGAGAAUGACGGUACCUGAGUAAGAAUCCCCGGCUAACUACGUGCCAGCAGCCGAGGUAAUACGUAGGGGGCCAGCGUUAUCCGGAUUUACUGGGUGUAAAGGGAGCGUAGACGGCGAAGAAAGUCUGAAGUGAAAGCCCGCGGCUCAACCGCGGAACUGCUUUGGAAACUUUUUUGCUGGAGUACCGGAGAGGUAAGCGGAAUUCCUAGUGUAGCGGUGAAAUGCGUAGAGAUUAGGAGGAACACCAGUGGCGAAGGCGGCUUACUGGACGGUAACUGACGUUGAGGCUCGAAAGCGUGGGGAGCAAACAGGAUUAGAUACCCGAGUAGUC